rnacentral:rRNA from 1 species
AUGGUGAGGAGCUGGAAAGAAUUUCGGUCAAGGAUGGACUCGCGGCCUAUCAGGUAGUUGGUGAGGUAAUGGCUCACCAAGCCUACGACGGGUAGCCGGCCUGAGAGGGUGACCGGCCACACUGGAACUGAGACACGGUCCAGACUCCUACGGGAGGCAGCAGUGGGGAAUAUUGCACAAUGGGCGCAAGCCUGAUGCAGCAACGCCGCGUGAGGGACGACGGCCUUCGGGUUGUAAACCUCUUUUAGUAGGGAAGAAGCGAAAGUGACGGUACCUGCAGAAAAAGCACCGGCUAACUACGUGCCAGCAGCCGCGGUAAUACGUAGGGUGCAAGCGUUAUCCGGAAUUAUUGGGCGUAAAGAGCUCGUAGGCGGUUUGUCGCGUCUGCUGUGAAAACUGGGGGCUCAACCCCCAGCCUGCAGUGGGUACGGGCAGACUAGAGUGCGGUAGGGGAGAUUGGAAUUCCUGGUGUAGCGGUGGAAUGCGCAGAUAUCAGGAGGAACACCGAUGGCGAAGGCAGAUCUCUGGGCCGUAACUGACGCUGAGGAGCGAAAGCAUGGGGAGCGAACAGGAUUAGAUACCCUGGUAGUCCAUGCCGUAAACGUUGGGAACUAGAUGUAGGGGCCAUUCCACGGUUUCUGUGUCGCAGCUAACGCAUUAAGUUCCCCGCCUGGGGAGUACGGCCGCAAGGCUAAAACUCAAAGGAAUUGACGGGGGCCCGCACAAGCGGCGGAGCAUGCGGAUUAAUUCGAUGCAACGCGAAGAACCUUACCAAGACUUGACAUAUACGAGAACGGGCUAGAAAUAGUUCACUCUUUGGACACUCGUAAACAGUGGUGGCAUGGUUGUCGUCAGCUCGUGUCGUGAGAAUUGUUGGGUUAAGUCCCGCACGAGCGCAAC